rnacentral:misc_RNA from 1 species
AAAACAAAUAAAUAAAUAAAUAAGAAAUUUUUACUUUAUAAUUCAAAAUCCCUUUACUUCUAUCUUUAGAACUUGAAGAUUGGAGAGAAAUUUUGUUUCAAACAAAAGGCAUCAGCCAGAAUGCCCAUGAAAUGGCUCCAUAUCGAAGUGUAUUGGCUGCAUCAGCCAAUAAAAACUGCCACACAGGUGAAAUAAAUAGGCUCAUACACAUCAGUUUGUUGGACUAAGAAACCAAUAUCCAUCAGCUAAAAUUUAAAAUCAUGAUGCAAUUCAACAUCUCUUAGAAUAGAUGGAUUCAGAAUUCUGCACACAACAGAACUUCAGAAGUUAACUGGUAAAAGCAGCAAGAAUCUCAGCAUAAUGGGUCAAGCAGCAUGGAAAUUGGUCUUUAAAAAGCAAAUAGAGCUAAAGGAAGCAUGCUGAUUUGCAAACAACAUUCCUGCACUAUAUCUAAAAUCCUUAAAAGUUUGUUAAAGAUCUAUGAUGAGGAUGUUAGGGACCUCUAAGGAAAGCAACUCACCAACUCCAUUUUUCUCAUUUCUAGAAUGAAGGCAAAUCCUAUAAUUCAUCAAAUUCAAAAUCUCCAUCAAUAAAUCAGGUUUGAAAUCUCUUAAUUAGUCCACAUUAAUUUUUAUUUCAAAAUCUCAUAUUUUCAAUUACAUAGUUCUUUUGAUCUUCUUCACAACAUAAAAGAAUGAACUCCAUAGGAAAUAUUGAGAGAAAUAAACUCAUUUAUGUAACUGAAAUUUACAAUCACAGCCAAAAUAAUGCCAAAAGUGGGAAAAAUACAGGAAAAACAAUCAGUCAUACUACUAUUAAAUCAUAGUUAUUAAAGGUGCAAAGGUGUCCUAAAGCCUAGGCGCAAGGUUUGGCUCACAAUUAAUACAAUAAGACACCUAAUCCUACAUACGAUAGCUACUCAUAUUAACAACAUAAAACAUUCAUGGCUUGUUUACUCGUGGAAAACUAGGGUAGUUUUUUUAAAAAAGCUUUCUAA